GAUGAGCGCUGGCGGCGUGCCUAAUACAUGCAAGUCGAGCGAACAGAUAAGGAGCUUGCUCCUUUGACGUUAGCGGCGGACGGGUGAGUAACACGUGGGUAACCUACCUAUAAGACUGGGAUAACUUCGGGAAACCGGAGCUAAUACCGGAUAAUAUUUCGAACCGCAUGGUUCGAUAGUGAAAGAUGGCUUUGCUAUCACUUAUAGAUGGACCCGCGCCGUAUUAGCUAGUUGGUAAGGUAACGGCUUACCAAGGCGACGAUACGUAGCCGACCUGAGAGGGUGAUCGGCCACACUGGAACUGAGACACGGUCCAGACUCCUACGGGAGGCAGCAGUAGGGAAUCUUCCGCAAUGGGCGAAAGCCUGACGGAGCAACGCCGCGUGAGUGAUGAAGGUCUUCGGAUCGUAAAACUCUGUUAUUAGGGAAGAACAUACGUGUAAGUAACUGUGCACGUCUUGACGGUACCUAAUCAGAAAGCCACGGCUAACUACGUG
rnacentral:rRNA from 1 species